rnacentral:rRNA from 1 species
GGGUUGUGAGGUUAAGCGACUAAGCGUACACGGUGGAUGCCCUGGCAGUCAGAGGCGAUGAAGGACGUGCUAAUCUGCGAAAAGCGUCGGUAAGGUGAUAUGAACCGUUAUAACCGGCGAUGUCCGAAUGGGGAAACCCAGUGUGAUUCGUCACACUAUCGUUAACUGAAUACAUAGGUUAACGAGGCGAACCGGGGGAACUGAAACAUCUAAGUACCCCGAGGAAAAGAAAUCAACCGAGAUUCCCCCAGUAGCGGCGAGCGAACGGGGAGCAGCCCAGAGUCUGAAUCAGCUUGUGUGUUAGUGGAACGGUCUGGAAAGUCCGACGGUACAGGGUGAUAGUCCCGUACACCAAAAUGCACAGGCUGUGAACUCGAAGAGUAGGGCGGGACACGUGGUAUCCUGUCUGAAUAUGGGGGGACCAUCCUCCAAGGCUAAAUACUCCUGACUGACCGAUAGUGAACCAGUACCGUGAGGGAAAGGCGAAAAGAACCCCGGCGAGGGGAGUGAAAAAGAACCUGAAACCGUGUACGUACAAGCAGUGGGAGCACCUUCGGGUGUGACUGCGUACCUUUUGUAUAAUGGGUCAGCGACUUAUAUUCUGUAGCAAGGUUAACCGUAUAGGGGAGCCGCAGGGAAACCGAGUCUUAACUGGGCGUUAAGUUGCAGGGUAUAGACCCGAAACCCGGUGAUCUAGCCAUGGGCAGGUUGAAGGUUGGGUAACACUAACUGGAGGACCGAACCGACUAAUGUUGAAAAAUUAGCGGAUGACUUGUGGCUGGGGGUGAAAGGCCAAUCAAACCGGGAGAUAGCUGGUUCUCCCCGAAAGCUAUUUAGGUAGCGCCUCGUGAACUCAUCUUCGGGGGUAGAGCACUGUUUCGGCUAGGGGGUCAUCCCGACUUACCAACCCGAUGCAAACUACGAAUACCGAAGAAUGUUAUCACGGGAGACACACGGCGGGUGCUAACGUCCGUCGUGAAGAGGGAAACAACCCAGACCGCCAGCUAAGGUCCCAAAGUCAUGGUUAAGUGGGAAACGAUGUGGGAAGGCACAGACAGCCAGGAUGUUGGCUUAGAAGCAGCCAUCAUUUAAAGAAAGCGUAAUAGCUCACUGGUCGAGUCGGCCUGCGCGGAAGAUGUAACGGGGCUAAACCAUGCACCGAAGCUGCGGCAGCGACACUAUGUGUUGUUGGGUAGGGGAGCGUUCUGUAAGCCUGCGAAGGUGACCUGUGAGGGUUGCUGGAGGUAUCAGAAGUGCGAAUGCUGACAUAAGUAACGAUAAAGCGGGUGAAAAGCCCGCUCGCCGGAAGACCAAGGGUUCCUGUCCAACGUUAAUCGGGGCAGGGUGAGUCGACCCCUAAGGCGAGGCCGAAAGGCGUAGUCGAUGGGAAACAGGUUAAUAUUCCUGUACUUGGUGUUACUGCGAAGGGGGGACGGAGAAGGCUAUGUUAGCCGGGCGACGGUUGUCCCGGUUUAAGCAUGUAGGCUGGUUAUCCAGGCAAAUCCGGAUAAUCAAGGCUGAGGUGUGAUGACGAAGCACUACGGUGCUGAAGUAACAAAUGCCCUGCUUCCAGGAAAAGCCUCUAAGCAUCAGGUAACAUUGAAUCGUACCCCAAACCGACACAGGUGGUCAGGUAGAGAAUACCAAGGCGCUUGAGAGAACUCGGGUGAAGGAACUAGGCAAAAUGGUGCCGUAACUUCGGGAGAAGGCACGCUGGUGUGUAGGUGAAGUCCCUGCGGAUGGAGCUGAGACCAGUCGAAGAUACCAGCUGGCUGCAACUGUUUAUUAAAAACACAGCACUGUGCAAACACGAAAGUGGACGUAUACGGUGUGACGCCUGCCCGGUGCCGGAAGGUUAAUUGAUGGGGUUAUCCGUAAGGAGAAGCUCUUGAUCGAAGCCCCGGUAAACGGCGGCCGUAACUAUAACGGUCCUAAGGUAGCGAAAUUCCUUGUCGGGUAAGUUCCGACCUGCACGAAUGGCGUAAUGAUGGCCAGGCUGUCUCCACCCGAGACUCAGUGAAAUUGAACUCGCUGUGAAGAUGCAGUGUACCCGCGGCAAGACGGAAAGACCCCGUGAACCUUUACUAUAGCUUGACACUGAACAUUGAGCCUUGAUGUGUAGGAUAGGUGGGAGGCUUUGAAGCGUGGACGCCAGUCUGCGUGGAGCCAACCUUGAAAUACCACCCUUUAAUGUUUGAUGUUCUAACGUUGGCCCCU